rnacentral:rRNA from 1 species
GUAGUCUGCAACUCGACUACAUGAAGCUGGAAUCGCUAGUAAUCGCGAAUCAGCAUGUCGCGGUGAAUACGUUCCCGGGUCCUGUACACACCGCCCGUCACACCAUGGGAGUUGGUAACGCCCGAAGCCAGUGACCCAACCGGAAACGGAGGGAGCUGUCGAAGGUGGGACCGAUAACUGGGGUGAAGUCGUAACAAGGUAUC